AUGUGAAUCUGCGCUUUUAUGGCGCCCAAUUGUGGUCUGUAGACUUUGACCUUAUUUGCCGGGCCAAGUUCCUUGGAAAAGGACAGCUUAUAGGGUGACACUCCCGUCCGCCUGGUAAAGUGAGUCAUUUGUCAACGAGUCUAGUUGUUUGGGAUUGCAUCUCUCAUUUGGUGGUAAAUUCCAUCUUAAGCUAAAUAUUGGUGGGAUACCGAUCGCGUACAAGUACCGUGAGGGAACGAUGCAAAGAACUUUGAAAAGAGAGUUAAAGAGUACCUGAAACUGCUGAAACGGAAGCGAAGGAAACCAGUGUUUGUUUGUUCAUAUUUCCCUGGCCACUUGUGGUCUGGGCGCUGUGGACUUGCGUGAGUUUGGGUUGGUUGAUCCCUUUGGAAUAGCGCAGUCAGAGUUGAUGUCUGUUGCUAGCACUGGGUUUGACUGAUGCAUACGAAAUGGUUUUCUUUACCCCGUCUUGAAACACGGACCAAGGAGUCUAACAUAUGUGCGAGUACAGGGGUGUCAAACCCCCGUGCGCAAUGAAAGUGACUGUGGUUGGAAUUUUUGCACAAUCCGCCGGCCUCAGUCCCUCGGGAGAACGGUCUGAGUGUGAGCAUACAUGUUGGGACCCGAAAGAUGGUGAACUAUGCCUGAAUAGGGUGAAGCCAGGGGAAACUCUGGUGGAGGCUCGU
rnacentral:rRNA from 1 species